rnacentral:misc_RNA from 1 species
GGGUGGGAUUCAAAGAACAUCAAGUAAGUCAGCUUUAUUAUUUGUUCUUAUGGUUGUCUUUGCUUAUUAUUUUUGUUUUCUUUAGUAAAUCAUGGUUCUCUAAUUUUUCAUAUGGAUUAAUUUGACCUAUAGUCCAUUAGUUUGGACAGCUAUAAUAAUAUCAUUCAUGAACAUCAAUGUAUAAGAGUGAGCAAAAUUGAUUGUACAUCAAAAAA